CAACUUUCAACAACGGAUCUCUUGGCUCUCGCAUCGAUGAAGAACGCAGCGAAAUGCGAUACGUAAUGUGAAUUGCAGAAUUCAGUGAAUCAUCGAAUCUUUGAACGCACCUUGCGCCCCUUGGCAUUCUGAGGGGCACACCCGUUUGAGUGUCGUGA
rnacentral:rRNA from 1 species